AUUUGCUGAGGAGCUAUGAAGUGGACGUGAGAGUCUAUGCCGCCAGCGGUGAUGAUCUUGCCUUCUCCGGCGAUGAUCUCUGUGCCUGGGCCGAUUAUGAUGUCCACGUUGGGCUGAACGUCGUGAUUCCCCGCCUUGCCUAUGGCAGCAAUUAUGCCGUCCUUGAGUCCAAUGUCGGCCUUCACGACGCCCCAAUAGUCAAGAAUCAGCGCAUUAGUGAUGACGGUGUCGACACCGCCUUCGGCUCUGGUGGCCUGAGACUGGCCCAUGCCGUCGCG
rnacentral:sRNA from 1 species